GGCCAGUCCAUUUGUAUUUGGCAUAUUCAGAGAAAAUACUCUAUUAUCUAUCUUGAUGAAAUUAAAGUUUUAUUCCCAGCCCAUUUCUGUCCUAACUUGUAUUACCAACCCAAAAACUAUCUUUUUAGACCUCAAAACAUUUCUUAAAUAAACAAUUUGAGCUUUUAUGUCUCUUAACAUUAUAACACUUUAUACCUCUUUUUUUCUUUUUAAAAAAUUACUUCAUUUAAUUAACAUUUUUUCAUUUAUUUUACAUAUUUACCACAGUUCUGCUCCCUCUUCUCCUCCCAUUCCUCUGCCUCCACUCCCAUCUACCGCUCUCCCCAUCCACUUCUCCUUCAUCUCCAUCCAGAAAGGAGCAGGCCUCCCGUGGGCUUGACUGAAACAUUCCACAUCAAGUGAAAUCAAGUUCCUCCCCCUGCAUAAAGGCUGCGUGAGGUAAUUAUCAUGUGGAACAGGUUCCGAAAAGCCAGCUAAGGGCCAGGGACAGGUCCUGAUCUCACUGCUAGGAGCCAUAGAAACAGACCAAGCUAUACAACUGUCACACACAUGCAGAGAUCUAAGGUCGGUCCCAUGCAGGUUCCCUAACGGUUGGUUCAGAGUCCAUGAGUUCUCGUGAGCUCAGGUCAGCAGUCUCUGUAGGUUCCUCUGUCAUGACUAUGACACUGGCCCCUCCUACUGGCUCAUAAAAUCCCUCCUCCCUUUCUUCAAGAGGACUCCUGGAGCUCUACCCAGUGCUUGGCUGAGGAUCUCUGCAUCUGCUUCCAUCAGUUACUGGAUAGAGUGUCUCUGGUGACAGUUGGGGUAGUCACCAAUCUGAUUACAGGGAAAGGCCAGUUCACUUACCCUCUCCACUCUUGCUAGGAGUCUUAGCUGGGGUCAUCCUUGCACUUUACACCUCUUGUGAGUUUUUUUUCUGAAUUUGGUAACAAAGAAAACUAUAACUAUAACUGUAACUAUAACUAUCUCAUCUUGAACUCCAUCAGAGACCCAAGAAGGAUUUAAUAUUAUCUGAGUAAACAGGAAGUGCAGAGCAAGCAACUUCCAAAACGGUAGAAAUGACAGAAGCAGCUGACUGCUUGGGCCAUCACCCAAGUUUCCUCUGAAACAUUGGGUCAUUCAUCUUCAGCCCACCGGCCUAGCAUAUCCGACAAGACUUUCUGUGAAACAGGAUUUUGAAGGACUGUCCUACCUUGUCUUGGUAAAGUUCAGCAGUUGCCUUCCUUUGUGUUCUGCUUGUCCAAUUUGGACAGCAUGAUGUCAGCAGUUGAAGCAAGUACAGUUUAUUGCCCAGUGACUAACUUUGCCACAAAGGAAAGCAAACUUUCUUCAGUGCACAUCAUCGUCUCUGAAGUAGAUUAGUGCUUCCAGGAGCAAACUUGUAUCAUUGUCAUGAAAAGCCUUAUGCUAUUAAAACAUCUUAAAUACUAUAUUCUGUAGAUCUUUGAAGUGCUUACAGGCCAUCUAUCUAUUUAAAAUAUAUCUCUGUUUGACCUUGAAAACAUACCUCAUAUGACUAUAAGUUUGAUUUUUUAUAGAUGACUAUUAAUUGGUCUUUUUUAUUACCCUAAAUGGCUUUCAAGGACUAAAACUUUACAUUACAUUUUAAAAUGAACUGCAUAGGCACAAUACCCUAAACAAGAGUAGAAACAUAUAUACAGUAUAAUAAAAAUAACCUUAAAUUUAUAUCAAUAUACCAAAAUCUAUAUCAGUGUAAAAUAUUUGAGACUAGUGGUUAUUCAAAAAUAGAUUUGGCAAUCCACCCUUUAUCCCAUCAUUUCUAUACUAUAUCCCUUAUUUUCCCUUCAGAUUCUAAUCUCUGAAUCUAAUCUCCUUUGUUCAGUUUUUUCUAUGACCAAUAACAAAUUGCAACCACCCCCCUAAAGGAUGAAUAAUAUCCAUAACUCAUUGAAUGACCAAAACCCACUCACCAUAUUCUCUAGACUGCUUCCUGUUGUCUGGGGGGUGACGGCAUCUUUAGGGGACCCUGAGAAAAUUGGGAUAAUAGUCAAGUCCUGGGAGAGCUAGCUGUGUCACUUGUUAUCCAGUCUGUGUGAUAGGAAAGUGCAGGGCUUGUCAGAAGUCCUGCCUUGGGUAUUGUGUGAGGCUGGACCAUCUCAGGAGCAGCUUGGAAGAUGUUAUGGAUGUAAAAUUUUGAGGAAACUGCAACAGAGGCAUUCUGAGAGGCUGGAUCACCUGGCCUACUUGUCUUUAUUGGUGUCUGGUCUCUUUUUUAAACACACAAACUUUUAAAGGUCACAUAUGCUGAGGGUUGGUGGCCCAUGCCUUUAAUCCUAGCACUCUGGAGGCAGAGGCAGAGGAUCUCUGUGAGUUCGAGACCAGCCUGGUCUGCAAGAGCUAGUUCCAGGAUAGGCUCCAAAGCUACACAGAGAAACCCUGUCUCGAAAAACCAAAAAAAGAGAAAAGGUCACAUAUAUCUCUGCAUUAACCUAAGUAUGGAAUGUACAGUGGGUACAAGUAAGUUAAAGAUGAUUUUUUUGUUUUAUGUUUGAGUAGGCAAAAGGCAUCUGUUAGCUCUAUAAGUCUGUUUGGACUGCAUAACCAAACUGUAAUAUAAAUUUCCAUCCAUGCCAUAUGAAAGGAUAAUGUGUAAUAAUAAGUCAUGAGGACUCUGUAACUAAUAAGAUUUAUCAUGUCUCACCAAGUCUCAGAGCUGUUCCCAUGUGGAGGGAUCAGCUUAAUACAUCACCUGUCUUGUAGUCUUUCUUCCCUUUUCCCGUUGUAUCAAAUCAUAUCAUAUCUCAUUUCUCUCAUAUCAUAAUAGCCAAGAGCCUCAGGAGGUCUUCCCUGCUCAAAUCUGAUCUCAAUUGACUUUGAAAGAAUCCAUAGCUUUUUGUUUCCCAUGGAAACAAAAGCAUAACCUCCCCACCAAAGCAACACAUUGUCUGACUCCAUUUUGAAGCCAAGAUAUCCUUAAAGUAUAUAGACUGGUUUAAUCCAGCAGUUCCUUCCACAAUCCAAUGUCUCUAAGCAACUACAGUUCUCUAUAAUAACUCAAAGUUAACUGUUGUGAAUAGUAGUUUAAGAUGCAUUACAUUUUUUCUGCUGUAGUGUAUUUGUUUAAUGAUGCAAAGAUACGUUGCAUUUUUUCAAUGGUGCAUUUGUUUAACUCUGUAAAGCUGUGUUACUUUGCAUGCCUAAAUCCCUGAUUGGCUUACUAAAGAGCUGUAUGGCCAAUAACUAGGCAGGAGAAACGAUAGGUGUGGCUGGCAUGCAGAGAGAAUAAAUAGGAAGAGGGUUAGGAUCGAGAAAAAGAGGAGAGGAGGAUGCCAGGGGCCAGCCACUCAGCCACACAGCCACCCAGCUACACAGCCACUCAGCCAUAUAGCCACCCAGCCAUCUAGCCACACAGACAGAUAGCCACCCAGCCACCCAGCCACUCAGCCACACAGAUAGCCACCCAGUCACCCAGCCACACAGAUAGCCACCCAGUCACCCAGCCACACAGAUAGCCACCCAGUCACCCAGCCACACAGAUAGCCACCCAGUCACCCAGCCACACAGAUAGUCACCCAGUCACCCAGCCACUCAGUGACACAGUCACACAGCCAUGGAACAAGAAGGGAAGAAAGAUAUACCAAAUAAAGAAAGGUUAAAAAACCCAGAAGUGAAAUGUAGUUAAAGAGAAACUGGAUAAGUUAGAAAAGCUGGCUAGAAACAAGACAAGUUAAGACCGGGCAUUCAUAACUAAGAAUAAGUCUCUGUUUACUUAUUUGAGAGCUGGGUGGUGGGCCCCAAGGAGUAAGAAGACCAAAUACAGUCAACAAAACACCCUCUGUAUUUCUAUCUUUACGUGGCUUUUUAAAAUAUUAUUUUUCUCUUUAAAGACUUUAUUACUUUUAAACUAUAUUUUUUCUAUGACUGUCUAAGCCAAUUUUCUUUUUUUUUUCUUUAACACUGAGCACAUUUUCAAACACAAUGCACCUUUUUAGAUAUUUUCUGUGUCUGGAUCUGGCUUUACUAAGCAGCUGCAGCAUUCUCUGACCUCAUGAGACAAAUCUUAAACUGUCAUGUCAGUCUCUGCAAGACACAGCUUAGCUCAUGGCACUGGUGGCUGGUUGUGUCGUGUGUGUCCUGUCCCUGUGCUCCCCCCGCCCCAAGACAGCAACCGGUAGCCACACCUCUGUAUGACACUGAGCAUAAGCCCACCUGAGAGACUGCAGGACUAAGAAGCUACAUCUGGCUCCUUCUCCAGAACUUUUCUUAGCUUUCUCAGGCCCUAUGUUUGGAUAUUCAAGCCCCCACAUUGUACACCAUAUGCAGCCAGUUUUUCUCUGUAAUGCCAGCUCCCAAAUAAUAACACGAAGACUUAUUAAUUAUGAAAGCUUGGCCUUAGCUCUUAUAACCUAAUUCAUUUAUCUUAACCUAUUUUCUGUUGCAUAGCUUGUAAGCUCAUCUCUCCAUACUGCUCAUGCUGAUUUCUCCAUGUCUGGCUGGUGACUCCACCUUUCUUCCUCUCCCAGUCCUCUCUGUCUCCAGAAGUCCUGCAUAACUGCUUCCUGCCUAGCUACUGGCCAGUUAGCUCUUUAUUAAACCAAUCACAGUGACACAUCUUCACACGGUGUAAAGGAAUAUUUUGCAGCACUAUCCUGAGUACACCCCUUGCUCCUCCUUUGAGAGCUCAUAAAGGAAGGCUCUGGAGAGUCACCUGGGUCCCCUGAAUAGCUUAACCCACGGAGCUUCCAGCUCUCUUUGUAGCGCAUCUGAUCUGCACGGUUCCCGUUCUCCUCAUUAGUUUGCCUAUCAUCAGUUCAUUAUGAAAGGGAGGCAUGGGGAUGACCUACAUGAUGAAAUAUGUCAGAGCCCCAGUGAAAAGGGCAGCUUCAUGUCCAAGAAUAUCACCAGCUCUAAAUGAGCAAUAACUCUUGUCAUUGGAGCCAUGUUGGUUGCCAUUGGAGCCUCUGGGAAGAACUUUGUCUCAGACUUUCACACAUUUGGCCCAAGGUCUCUAUCCUUUCUGUCACCCCACAGCUGUGCUGUUUCCUGGAGUAUUUUUCCUUUAAGAUUUUUCUAGAAGCGUAAUGUUACCUGAUUGGCUAGUUUCAGCUACACCCCUUUUAGCCAGUUCUCUGUCAAAACUGUGGAAGAGGCUUUCUCAGUGCUCAUCCUGCCUCAACACUCACAGCGUCUGGAGAUGAGAGCCUCUCUAGUGCGCAGGGAGUGGUGGCCAGGGCUCUCCUUCCAGGCUUUUGCAAGCAGCCAGGAAAGUGAAUAACCCCCAUCAUGCUCUCUUGAAUAAGGUUCCUUGCAACUUUCCGCUCUGUAUUUUCUUCUACAAUUCUUUAACCGUGGAGCCAGAACCUGGAAACCUGUGGUCCAGACAGUGACCCCAGGUAACAAAUGUCCCUAAAAGAUUGAGGUGUUCACCCCCAGGAUGUGGUGACAGGUUAAAUUCUUCUCUCUCCUGUGCAUGAAGAGCAUGGCUCCUUCAUCCAUUCCCGUACAUUACCAAGCUGUCACUGUGGGUCUGGACAGGGGAGAUGUUACAGUGUUGACAAAUGAGUCCCUCUUGUGCCUAUUUACAGCCUUUGGACCAGUGGGGGGGGGGAUACAGGUAUUACUGAAACAUCACAUAAAGAGUUCUGAACACUCUCAAGUUCACAAGAACCACAUGGGGGAGAAGUUACACGACAUGGUGGGUAUCAGACCUCCCCAGGUCAGAUGAGGUGCCUUGGUGACCCUUGCUCACCUCUUUCUUUAUUUGCUCUUUCUGGUCCAUCAGGAGAGAAUAGAAAGGAUUCUUCAGAAACAGCUGAGAUCCAGUAGUGCUCCAGGCUGGUCAGGUGACUCUCUCCAUGGGGUGACACAUGCUGGAAUGGAUGGAGAAGCUCUACAGGGGCUUCCGUGUCCCCCCUCACCCCCCUGCUUCCCAUGUUGGUGUGGUGGGAUGCAGAAAGUCCUGGGAUAUGAGUCUGCGUAGAAAAAGAGUCAGCUAUUCCCCAAGCCCCUGGGAUCCUUUGUCCACUUCAUUUCUUUUUGGGGAUCAGCUAUACCUACUGACCCCUCAGGAUGAGGGAGUAGGGGGUUGGGAGGUGGGGGCACCAUCUUAGUGACAGGAUAUGUUUAUGCAGUGCUUGUAUGUGGUUUGUCUGCCACAUGGAUUGGGAGUCUGUUGACCACACAGGUCCAGCACAGUGGCUGGGGCAUGUUGGCUGAGCCCUAGAAACACUCACAGCUCCAUGUAGUUAAACGCUCUGCCAUGGAACCACACCCCCUGUUCCUUUCCUCCUCUGCCUGCUCCAUGGAGUGUGACCUUCUGCUUAUUGUCCUCAUGCUUCAGCCUCCUAAGAACUGGCAGAACAGCAUUUGUGGGGUGGAUUGCAGGUUCUGAGGAAACUUUGUAUGCUUAUACACAGCACACAUUCACUGAUUAAACACUGUGUGUCCAGUGCUCAGUAUUUGCAUUUGACAAACACUGCAGGCCUGAGGAGAAUUUUGAACUGAUUAGUAAUCGGUCAGUAGUCUUGUUCACCAAGCCAGAGCACAUUUAAUUCCUGCUGAAAAAACGGAGGCCUCUGCGAUGAAAGGGGUCUCCUGCUUUCUGACUCUUUGUGUGUUUAGAAGUGUUGCAGAGGCUGCUGAGACGGCUCAGAGGGGAAAGGCAGUGGCUGCUGCUCCUGAUGACCUGAGUUCCAUCCCCAGGACCAACAUGAUGGAAGGAGAGAACAAACUCUGCCAAGUGGUCCUGUGACCUCCACAUGUGCAGACAUGCAUACACAUGCACGCACGAGUGCGCACGCGUGUGCGUUCACACACACACACACACACACACACACACACACACACACACACACACACACACACGGAAACACAUACAGGAAUGAACAUGAAAUAAGUGUGGAAAUUUGGAAAAAGGACAUAAACAGAAAGCUCCAGAGAGAACACCCCAACCCCCAAAGCUUACAACUCAUUAGUAAAACUUUCUCUUACUUGUCCCAAUAAAUAUUUUCCCCAGUGUGCUGCUUAUCUCCUGGCUUUGUCAGUGACAGUGAGCUAUGGCAGGAUUGUCGUCUCCACCAGAUGCAGCACACAUUGAUCCCACACAUUUGCUGAGGUGUGAGGAGGUGGAAGGAGGAGGGUGAGCCACAGGAUCAGGACUUCAUUGAUAGCCUACAACCUGCUGGGGUCAGGAUCCAGCUUGUGUCGUCACGUUGGUUCUUGCAGCCAAACUUCAUAACCUGUGCUGAGGGCCCAUGCAUCAGCCGCCAGAGUCAGUGGCUCCUCAGUCUGCUUGCUGACCUCUCCCAAAGCUCACAGCCUCAUGUGGACUUCCUGUCUUCCCUCUGCUGCUUGCAGGGAACCAGCGGCUCCCUGUUUACUUCCCAAGUACUGGCUCUCCCACUCAGACUCAGCCUCCUGUCUCCUCCUUCAUGGGGUUCUGUCUCUUUCUAUCACUCUUGUGUGUUUGAAAAAAUCUAAUUGUGUUUUUUUUCUCGAAGUUGAUGACAGCUGUAGGUCAUUCUGGUCACUCAUUGGAUACAAAAGGGAGAUAGCAGCCUCCUCAUGGAACCAGCCAGGUCAAUCAGAAAUACUCCCCAAUGGCUUCCCACACCCCCAGGCUGCUGGCGCACCUGACAAACUUCAUUUAGCCAUGGAGUGAGUUUUAGCAUGGCAAGGAAUGUCAUAGCUUGUACAGAAGGCAGCAGGCACAGAGCUACUGGACAUGGCAUGGAACAGACAUCUACCUGGAGAGCCCUAGUACUCACAUCUGGGCGUCAGAGAAGUGCCGAGAUGCUGGGGGUUUUGGGAACUGCCAGUUUCAGCUUGCCCCAGUAACGCCAAGGGCAUCCUUUAUCCAAGUGUUAGUGAAACUGCAAACUCUAAAGGAUGUUCACAUCAUGAACUCUGACGUCAUCUGGACACAAAGGCUGAGCCUCUCACAGCCCUCUGCCAGCUCUGUGGCCACAGCACAGCCACGGAGUCCUUUGAAUAAAAGGCUUGGGGUUGGCAGAUCUUUGAAAUAGCUGUUUUCAGCUCCCUAAAAACAAAUGCCACUUCUGAGAACCUUUAGGUAGACAGGAAGAAACACAGAGGCAAAGCUCUAUUUUGAGGGGCCCUUGCCUUUCGGGGGGCAGCAGUGGUGGUGGAGAGCUCCUGUGAUCUCAUUAAAUGGGAGCUGGGGCUCAGACUGCAAGGCAGAGUUGGUGAAUCAGCCUUGAAGCAGCUAUUCCCGCCUCCCACUCAGAUGCUCCUGCCUCUCCUUGCCCUUUUGGCUCGUUCGACUAAGCAUCAGUGACACAGUGGGGACAGCUGCGGGAGAAGAGGGUUUUGCCCAUAGACGUGAUGAUCAUUAGCUGGUUGUUUUCUUUCCCUCCGUGGCUGGGUAAUGACAUUGCUGAACACAGGAAAAGCAAGUUCCAGGGGAUCUGUCAGUGCUGGAGGCGUCUCCGUUAUCAAACCCAGGGCACAGAAUCACAUGUGGUAGCUCUUGAUAGUUAUCCCAGGAUCUAGGGAGGCUGUAGUAGGAGGAUUGUUGUGAGUCUAAAACCAACCUAGGCUAUACAAGGAGUUCCUGGCCAGCCUAGGCUAAAGAGUAAGAGCCUGAGGGGGGGAGCUGCUGGUGAGAUGGGUUCCCAGUUAAGAGCACUCACUGCUCUUGCAGAGGACAGGAGGUCAGUUCCCAGCUCUCACAUCAGCCAGCCCCACUACAUGAUUUAUUGCCAGUUCUAGAUCUGAUGUCCUCUUCUGGCCUUGGGGCACCCACACAUCACACACACACACACACACACACACACACACACACACACACCCUAAACAAACAAGCAAAAAUUAUUAAAAGAAAGAGUGAGACCCUGUCUCAAAACAAACUACCACCAACUCAGACAUCCAUGCUACCUUUGCCACAAGGAAAGACACCCAGGUGAGGGUCACAGUGGGGACUGUUUGUUCUUUUGAUGGUAAUAGCUGACUUCAAGUUGGUGUUGUGGCCUGAGUCCAUAAGUGCACACACCCAGAGCUAAGUCUUACCAGUCUUUAAGUCACAUGGUUUCUUCUGGGCUACAGAGACCGGGGAUGGGGGUGAUGGUGGAUUCUGAGGUGGCAGGAAGGGCAUCGGGAGAGGCACGGAAGGUUCUGUACAGAAGGGCGGAGUGCCAGCCCCAGAGAGCAGGUAGAGCUGGGAGGCCGUCUUCCCACUCACAUCAUUUUGCUCUUGGGGACUGGACACAUUUGGGACAGCACCAUUAUCUACAGGAACAAGAAGGCUCACGGAGGAGUCUGUCUGUCUGCAUACUGGGAGUCUGUCCUCCAUGACGGUGUCCAGAAGUUCCCCUGCAAGAGCACAUACAAGGAUCCUACAGGUCAACAGGAAGGAGCUCCCAGUAAACCAGGGUUCUUGAUGAGCCAGAGGGGUCUCUCCUUCUUCUUGUGGAUCUGGGUGGUGUCUCUGUUCUCUGUGGCUCCUCUCAUACAGCAGACCCUGACGUCUUGAAGGGCAUUUGCUUUCUGAGGUCCCGGUGGCAGCGAUCCAGCCCGCUGCUUCCUAAAAGCCAGCACAGAUCCAGGUCAGUGCAUCCUGGGCAGCUAAAUGCUGGACAAACGACACUGUGUUCACAUGGGCCACAGAGACAGGACUACCUGCUGCUGGUCCACAGUGGCCAACAGGUGUGAACUCAUGUCGUAGACAUAACCUUGCCUCUCAGGUUUGGCUCUGAUAAGGUUGCUGAGUCCCUGGCUGUCUCCUAGCUGUCUACUGAAACAGUUUCACCUUAUCUCUUGGAGUGUAAGCUCCCCGUUGCCUCACA
rnacentral:lncRNA from 1 species